GAUGAACGCUGGCGGCGUGCCUAAUACAUGCAAGUCGAGCGAACAGAUAAGGAGCUUGCUCCUUUGACGUUAGCGGCGGACGGGUGAGUAACACGUGGAUAACCUACCUAUAAGACUGGGAUAACUUCGGGAAACCGGAGCUAAUACCGGAUAACAUAUUGAACCGCAUGGUUCAAUAGUGAAAGGCGGCUUUGCUGUCACUUAUAGAUGGAUCCGCGCCGUAUUAGCUAGUUGGUAAGGUAACGGCUUACCAAGGCAACGAUACGUAGCCGACCUGAGAGGGUGAUCGGCCACACUGGAACUGAGACACGGUCCAGACUCCUACGGGAGGCAGCAGUAGGGAAUCUUCCGCAAUGGGCGAAAGCCUGACGGAGCAACGCCGCGUGAGUGAUGAAGGUCUUCGGAUCGUAAAACUCUGUUAUCAGGUAAGAACAAAUGUGUAAGUAACUGUGCACAUCUUGACGGUACCUGAUCAGAAAGCCACGGCUAACUACGUG
rnacentral:rRNA from 1 species